rnacentral:lncRNA from 1 species
UUUAAAUAAGCGGGGCCCAGUAGGGUGUGCUUGGAAAUAUUUGAGAAACCUGCAUGCACGUUCAUCUUCGCUGCAUGCAAAUCGGGCGGCAGCCGCUAUGCCAGCAGCUGUCAAGGCCUUGAUGAAUCACUAUUCACAUGCAGGUCCCCGACUCUUGCAUGCAGGUGCCUAGUUUUUGCAUGAAGGUCCCUGGGUCGCAUCAUUGGUUGAGGAAGUAUCUCUAGAGUUUUCGAACUGACAUUGCCCACCACCUCCUCCAAAUCACCCAAAUCACCUCCUCCAAAUCACCCAAAUCACCUCCUCCAAAUCACCCAAAUUUUCUUGUACAUGGUGACACACAUGUGCCAAACAUGUCUAUGAAAGAAAUUUUUGGAAAAAAUUAUUUUACAAUGCCCCCUUGAGGCAUAGACCGAUGUUUUCAG